GAUGAGCAUGCGUCCCAUUAGCUAGUUGGUAAGGUAACGGCUUACCAAGGCUACGAUGGGUAGGGGUCCUGAGAGGGAGAUCCCCCACACUGGUACUGAGACACGGACCAGACUCCUACGGGAGGCAGCAGUGAGGAAUAUUGGACAAUGGGCGCAAGCCUGAUCCAGCCAUGCCGCGUGCAGGAUGACGGUCCUAUGGAUUGUAAACUGCUUUUAUACGAGAAGAAACACUCCUUCGUGAAGGAGCUUGACGGUAUCGUAAGAAUAAGGAUCGGCUAACUCCGUGCCAGCAGCCGCGGUAAUACGGAGGAUCCAAGCGUUAUCCGGAAUCAUUGGGUUUAAAGGGUCCGUAGGCGGUUUAAUAAGUCAGUGGUGAAAGCCCAUCGCUCAACGGUGGAACGGCCAUUGAUACUGUUAAACUUGAAUUAUUAGGAAGUAACUAGAAUAUGUAGUGUAGCGGUGAAAUGCUUAGAGAUUACAUGGAAUACCAAUUGCGAAGGCAGGUUACUACUAAUGGAUUGACGCUGAUGGACG
rnacentral:rRNA from 1 species